rnacentral:rRNA from 1 species
UACGGGGGGAGCAAGCGUUGUUCGGAUUUACUGGGCGUAAAGGGCGCGUAGGCGGCCACCUCAGGUCGGUUGUGAAAUCUUCGGGCUUAACCCGGAAAGGUCAAUCGAUACUGCGGGGCUAGAGUGCAGAAGGGGCAACUGGAAUUCUCGGUGUAGCGGUGAAAUGCGUAGAUAUCGAGAGGAACACCUGCGGCGAAGGCGGGUUGCUGGGCUGACACUGACGCUGAAGCGCGAAAGCUAGGGGAGCGAACGGG